rnacentral:rRNA from 1 species
UGGGGAAUAUUGCACAAUGGGCGCAAGCCUGAUGCAGCCAUGCCGCGUGUGUGAAGAAGGCCUUCGGGUUGUAAAGCACUUUCAGCGAGGAGGAAGGUGGUGAGCUUAAUACGCUCAUCAAUUGACGUUACUCGCAGAAGAAGCACCGGCUAACUCCGUGCCAGCAGCCGCGGUAAUACGGAGGGUGCAAGCGUUAAUCGGAAUUACUGGGCGUAAAGCGCACGCAGGCGGUUUGUUAAGUCAGAUGUGAAAUCCCCGGGCUCAACCUGGGAACUGCAUUUGAAACUGGCAAGCUAGAGUCUCGUAGAGGGGGGUAGAAUUCCAGGUGUAGCGGUGAAAUGCGUAGAGAUCUGGAGGAAUACCGGUGGCGAAGGCGGCCCCCUGGACGAAGACUGACGCUCAGGUGCGAAAAGCGUGGGGAGCAAAACAGGAUUAGAUACCCUGGUAGUCCACGCUGUAAAACGAUGUCGAUUUUGGAGGUUGUGCCCUU